rnacentral:rRNA from 1 species
CCUACGGGUGGCAGCAGUGGGGAAUAUUGCGCAAUGGGCGAAAGCCUGACGCAGCGACGCCGCGUGAGGGAUGAAGGUCUUCGGAUUGUAAACCCCUGUCAGCAGGGAAGAAAGGUCAUUGAGCUAAUCAGCAGUGCAUUGACGGCACCUGUAAAGGAAGCACCGGCUAACUCCGGGCGAGCAGCCGCGGUAAUACGGCGGGUGCGUACGUUAUUCGGAUUUACUGGGCGUAAAGGGCGCGUAGGCGGUAUGCCAAGUCAAGGGUGAAAUCUCUGGGCUCAACGUGGGGACUGCCUUUGAAACUGGAUAACUGGAGUGGGUGAGAGGAUAGUGGAAUUCCAGGUGUAGCGGUGAAAUCCGUAGAUAUCAGGAGGAACAUCGGUGGCGAAGGCGGCUAUCUGGAACGUAACUGACGCUGAGGCGCGAAAGCGUGGGUAGCGAACAGGAUUAGAUACCCCUGUAGUC